AGCGUUAUCCGGUUACUGGGCGUAAAGAGCGUUGAGGCGGUUCCGUAACUUGGCCUGAAGCCCCGGGCUUAACCCGGGGAGCUCGUUCAAUACUGCGGGACUUGAGGGCAGCAGAGGGAGGCGGAAUUCCCGGUGUACCGGUGAAAUGCGUAGAUAUCGGGAGGAACACCAGUGGCGAAGGCGGCCUCCUGGGCUGUUUCUGACGCUGAAGGCGAAAGCUAGGGGAGCGAACGGGAUUAGAAACCCCGGUAGUCCUAGCCGUAAACGAUGGUUGCUGGGUCUGGGGGGUAUAGAUCCCCUCCGUGCCGAAGCUAACGCGUUAAGCAUCCCGCCUGGGGAUUACGGCCGCAAGGCUUAAACUCAAACGAAUUGACGGGGGCCCGCACAAGCAGCGGAGCGUGUGGUUUAAUUCGAUGCUACACGAAGAACCUUACCUGGGCUUGACAUGUAGGUAGUAGUGAAGCGAAAGCGGAACGACCCUUCGGGGAGCCUACACAGGUGCUGCAUGGCUGUCGUCAGUUCGUGCCGUGAGGUGUCGGGUUAAGUCCCGUAACGAACGCAACCCUUGCCCUUAGUUACAUGUGUCUAAGGGGACUGCCCGGGACAACUGGGAGGAAGGUGGGGAUGACGUCAAGUCAGCAUGGCCUUUAUGUCCAGGGCUACACACACGCUACAAUGGCCGGUACAAUGGGUCGCCAAGCCGUGAGGCGGAGCCAAUCCCCCAAAGCCGGUCUAAGUUCGGAUUGUGGGCUGCAACUCGCCCAUAUGAAGCUGGAGUUGCUAGUAACCGCGCGUCAGCAAUAGUGCGGUGAAUACGUUCCCGGGCCUUGUACACACCGCCCGUCACGUCAUGGAAGCUGGCAACACCUGAGCCAGUGAGCUAACCCGCAAGGGGGCAGCUGUCGAAGGUGGGGCUGGUGACUGGGACGAAGUCGUNGGAAGGUAGCGCAAGGCGA
rnacentral:rRNA from 1 species